GACGAACGCUGGCGGCGUGCUUAACACAUGCAAGUCGAACGGAAAGGCCCUGCUUGCAGGGUACUCGAGUGGCGAACGGGUGAGUAACACGUGGGUGAUCUGCCCUGCACUUCGGGAUAAGCCUGGGAAACUGGGUCUAAUACCGGAUAGGAGCCAUUUUUAGUGUGAUGGUUGGAAAGUUUUUUCGGUGUAGGAUGAGCUCGCGGCCUAUCAGCUUGUUGGUGGGGUAAUGGCCUACCAAGGCGGCGACGGGUAGCCGGCCUGAGAGGGUGGACGGCCACAUUGAGACUGAGAUACGGCCCAAGCUCCUACGGGAGGCAGCAGUGGGGAAUAUUGCACAAUGGGCGCAAGCCUGAUGCAGCGACGCCGCGUGGGGGAUGACGGCCUUCGGGUUGUAAACUCCUUUCGCUAGGGACGAAGCUUUUUGUGACGGUACCUAGAUAAGAAGCACCGGCUAACUACGUG
rnacentral:rRNA from 1 species